AUAACUGAUUAUAGGCUUUUCCAAUAUUGAUAUUAAAGGCAAAUAGCCUGCAGAGAUCACCAGUUUCAUGGCUUCACAAACCAUUUUACAGUCAGUCCCCAUAGACUAUCUAACUGCUGUUGGGAGGAUCAUUUCGAUAGUUAAUAUUGAAAAUAUUAAAGUGUAAUAGAUGAUACACACUGCAAACCUAUUCAAUUAUAUUUGGUGCCUUCCUGUCCCAAACCUGUUUCCUGUGGCGUAAGAAUAUGACCUAUUUAUUUCCCCAUUGCUUGUUUGUUCCCCUAUCUCUGACAUGUUUCCCAUCGUCCCCAUCAUAAACAGAGACCCUUUCUCAUCAGUCUGGGAAAACACAAACCCUCUUCAACGACUCCAUCUCAGGAUGGGAAAUCCAGCAUUUGAUAUAAUCUGUCCUGGCAGAAGCGGACAGACAGACAUGCCUCCGUCAUCAAGUGUCCGAACACCUUCGGUGUCAAACUGAUAUUAGUCCCCUGCUUCAGUUCCAAGAAAUGGUUACCCAAAAUCGUUGGGUAAUAAAGUAGGAUGUUCCUUUUUUCGACCAUCUGCCUCUGAAUGUUGCCCCUUCUUCCUGUUUUUGGACCAUAAUAAGUGUGAGGUGAGGACACUGGUUAUCAGUGCUAAAGUCAGCCAUUUUUAUCAAAACAUUUGGAGUGGAAUGUCCUGCUUCCACGAUGACUGAUAACAUCACAUAACAUCUAUGUUUUACUCUGCGCACACAAACAAGCACACACAUACGCACACACACACACACACACACACACACACACACACACAAGCAUGCACACAAGCUAACACAUACGCAUGCCCACACACAAAGCGCACAACAAGAAUACACACUCAUGCACACGCAUGCACACAUGCGCACACACACGCACACAAACACACACACACAAACAGACUCCUACACACACACACACACACAAAAGUUGAGCAAUCUCCAGUCCAUCUAAGGGUUGCUGGUACCCCAGCAUUCCUUGAGAAAUUCAAGUUCAGAUGCCCAUGAGCAAGCCCUAUUAAUCUAGCCAGGCAUUGCAUUGCUGCCCUUCUCCAGUGGAUGUGCGAGUUUGAAGGCAGUAAUGUUGCAAUAAUGUGCUCUGCCCAUGAGUCAAAGCAAUUUUCUAACCCUUACUCAGAUCUGGAUUCUGGGUUCAGACCUUGGAAUGACUAAGCACCCACUUGGCAUCUUGCGUGUGGUUGGGAAUUAAACCUGAGGUAAGCUGUGACACGCUGGCAGACCGGCUGCACUACAUGAGGACGGUCACGUAGCGACCAGCAGCUUCUGCUCUUUGACUUGUGGAGUAUUUGGAAAGGAGCUCAUUGAGACGCCGUUUGUGUGAGUUUGUGGCGAUUGGUUGUGGAAUAAUAACACUUGUUUCCAUGGAAUACUACUAUUAUUGCAUAAGACAUGGAUGGGAACUCGACCCUAACCGGAAUCACAGCAAGAAAUGUACCUACAUUUGUUUUUGCAAGAGAUAAUCUAUAAAAUGUUCGUUUACUUAGAUUUGAAUAAAUGUAUCAUUCAGCAGCCUUUUCUGUGAUAGCAUUACGCAAACAUGAUAACCACUUUUCCGACUGGAGUUUGAAGAACUAAAGAUCUUUAUGGUCCAGGCCUCCCCUACACAGCUGGAGAACAUCUUUCUAAUGCAUUCUCCCUGGCAUGGAGCCAGCGGAGGGGAGCCAGAACAGUGGCUCCUGAUGACCAAAGCAAAUCUGUUGUAGCAUCGAAAACCAAAAACCACGGCCCUUCCAGACAUCCAUCAUCAAACAACGUGUCUCCCAGUCCUCGCUCAGGGAGAACGAAGGGACCACAACGCCACGUCGCGGUAUGUAUACGUGAGGCCACCGCAAUAACAACAAUGGCAGCCGGCAUUGAGGAGCUGACAGGGUCCAGCUGGGCGUAGGGGGUUGUCAGGCCGGGGCGCUCCAUCACCGAGCGUGAGCGGAACAUCAACACACUUCAACAGAGCUGCACCGGGUCACAGCAGCCCGCCCCAGAGAAGGCACAGAGGAGUAGAGGGGUCUGCUACUGCACGUACUGAUGUGGAGUGAAUGCAAGCAACAGACUUGACCGUUCAAUGAACGUCACUUCACUUCGGCUGUAAGGAAAAGUAAAAAGCUGUAGGAAAUCUGCCCAGUCCACGGGGACUUUGUGCUGCAGAACAAGAGGUGGGAUUAGUGUUUAGGGGUGCAUUGUUUUUUUUGGCAGAAUUAGUUACUAGUCAUGAUAAAUAAGACUGACUGAAAUCAGAGAACCCAUGUUUAUUUCGCUAUUUGGAUGUUUAUUUAGCGUCUAAAUAAACUAAACGUCUAAAAGUUA